UAAAGUCCACAAGUCAAAUAACAAGCCAGGAGUCAAAACCAGAGCUGGUAGUGAGACGAGCCGAGUCAGGAGCCAAAGCGAAUAGUCAGAGAGCCAGAAUCAGGAACAAGGAAAACAGCAGAGUCAGGAACAAGCCAGGAAUCAGGAACCAGGAAGGACGUCAGGCAGCCAGGUAAUACACAGGAACUCUCACAAACUGUUCUGAGACAACGCAAAGGCAAAGCAUACUGAACAGAGGCCCUUUAAAUAAUAAGUGAUGACAUCACAAUUCUGAGACUGCAUCCUGUCUCACAUGGAUGAUGCACACCAGUUUGGCCAUAAAAGGAAGUGCAGGAAUUGAGCAGCAUCCCCCACAAUGCACCAAAGUCAGGAAGAGAGGAUUGCCGGUUGGGUUCUUGGAGUAAUCUUUGCAGGAUGCCCACCCCUAGGGAGAGCAGCAACAGUCUUGCAUUUUUUUGAUUUGUAGACAGUUUCUCUUAUCUUGAUGAAGACCCAGGCCUUUAGCAAUGCUUUUGUAACCUUUCCAGCUUCACACGUCUCUAUAAUGCAUCUUCUAAGGUCCAGUGAAAGUUGUUGGGAUAGGCUCAUGAUUCACACUAACCAGAAGAACAGAUUUGUCCGUAGGAUUUGUGUGUUAUUUAAAGGGAAAGGGCACCUGUGCAACCUACACCUCUAAGUUCACCUCCAUUGUGAAACACUUUAUCCCAAAUACCUUUUGGGGAAGUACUGAACAUCCUCUGUGUUAAAGGGACAUAAAACUAAAAAAAAAAAAUUAUUUCAUGAUUCAGACAGAGAAUACAAUUUUAAACAACUUUCCAAUUUACUUCUAUUAUCUAAUUUGCUUCAUGCUCUUGAUAUCCUUUGUUGUAGAAGCAGCAGUGCAUUACUGGGAGCAAGUUAAUGCAUUGGAUGAGCCAAUAACACAAGGCAUAUAUUUGCAGCCACCAAUCAGCAGCUUCUAUGCCUACCUAGAUAUCAUUUUCAAGAAAACAUGCUGAGAAAACACAACAAAUUAGAUAAGAAAAGUACAAUGGAAAGUUGUUUAAAAUCACCUGGUCUAUCUGAAUCAUGAAACAAAAAAAUUGGGUUUUGUGUUCCUUUAAAAGCUUCUCCGCGUCUCACUUUUUCCAGCCCUGCACUGUGAAUGAUUACUCAAUGUCUUCAAUAAAAAUGUGAAAAGUACAA